rnacentral:tRNA from 1 species
UUCCUCAUAGCUCAGUAGGUAAAGAAUCCGCCUGCAAUGCAGGAGAUCUCAGUUCAAUUUCUGGGUUGGGAAG